GCCUGCCGAAGGGACAGAGACCACAGGCACAGAGCUGAGGUGUGCCAGCUGAGGCCAUCUGAAACAUGGGAGAGAGAGAUGGCUAUGGUCAAAGAAAUGCUCAGCCAGGCCUGACCCAGAUCAAUAGAACCCACCAGCUCACUGUGAACUUGAGAACAGCAAGAAUGGCUGCUGUUUUAAGCCUCUAAGUUUUGAGGGUGGUUGUUUGCAGCAUUCUUGUGGCAACACUCGGCUAGUCAGUGGUGCUAUAAUGAGAGGUUGGUCACUGAGAGGAGAAAGAGGGAGCAGGAUAAUCCCUGGCAUGACCUAUAGGAAGAAAAUCUGAACCAGAAACAAUACGGCAGACUUGGGAUCUGACUCACAGAGGGAAGAACUUAUCAUUCUUCACGGGGCACAUGGAAGCAUGAGAAUUUGGGUUCAAGCAAGAGAAACAUUUUGCACUGUGCUAGGGGAUUCUACCCACAUAAGCUGGCAUGUUACUUGCCAGAUGAAAGAGCAACGAAUGGAGUACUUCAGUAAGUAUCCCUUCAAACAGCUUAUCUGUUAAUGAGUAGCAAUAAGAAUGAAAGUUAGAGUUCUCAAGAUUCUCCCACAUUAUCUCACUUUAUCCUCAUAAAAACCCUAAAAGGUAAGUCAUCAUUCUAAUUUAAUAGAAGGAAAAAACUAAGAUUUAAAAAGAAUUAGCUUUUUUCCUGUGUUUACCUAAGUCAUAAAUGACAGAGAUGGA
ensembl:lincRNA